UGGGAUCAGUGGCGAACGGGUGAGUAACACGUGAGCAACCUGCCCCUGACUCUGGGAUAAGCGCUGGAAACGGCGUCUAAUACUGGAUAUGUGACGUGAUCGCAUGGUCUGCGUUUGGAAAGAAUUUCGGUUGGGGAUGGGCUCGCGGCCUAUCAGCUUGUUGGUGAGGUAAUGGCUCACCAAGGCGUCGACGGGUAGCCGGCCUUGAGUGGUGACCGGCCACACUGGGACUGAGACACGGUCCAGACUCCUACGGGAGGCAGCAGUGGGGAAUAUUGCACAAUGGGCGCAAGCCUGAUGCAGCAACGCCGCGUGAGGGAUGACGGCCUUCGGGUUGUAAACCUCUUUAACAGGGAAGAAGCGAAAGUGACGGUACCUGCAGAAAAAGCGCCGGCUAACUACGUGCCAGCAGCCGCGGUAAUACGUAGGGCGCAAGCGUUAUCCGGAAUUAUUGGGCGUAAAGAGCUCGUAGGCGGUUUGUCGCGUCUGC
rnacentral:rRNA from 1 species